AUUGAACGCUGGCGGCAGGCCUAACACAUGCCAGUCGAGCGGAUGAACGGUGCUUGUUCCUGGAUUCCGCGGCGGACGGGUGUGUAAUGCCCAGGAAUCUGCCUGGUAUUGGGGGAUAACGUCCUUAAACGGGCGCUAAUACCGCAUACGUCCUGAUGGAGAAAGUGGGGGAUCUUCGGACCUCAUGCUAUCAGAUGAGCCUAGGUCGGAUUAGCUAGUUGGUGGGGUAAAGGCCUACCAAGGCGACCAUCCGUAAAUGGUCUGCGAGGAUGAUCAGUCACACUGGAAGUGAGACGGGGUCAAGACUCCUACGGGACGGAGCAGAGGGCAAUAGUGGGCAGCGGGCGGAAGCAUGAUCCAGCCAUGCGGAGUCUGUGACGGAGGUCUUCGGUUUGUAAAGCACUUUGAGUUGGGAGAAAGGGCAGUAGGUUAAUACCUUGCUGUUUUGACGGUACCGACAGAAUAAGCACCGGCUAACUACGUG
rnacentral:rRNA from 1 species